UACGUAGGGCGCAAGCGUUGUCCGGAGUUAUUGGGCGUAAAGAGCUCGUAGGCGGUCUGUCGCGUCGGAUGUGAAAGCCCGGGGCUUAACCCCGGGUCUGCAUUCGAUACGGGCAGACUAGAGUGUGGUAGGGGAGAUCGGAAUUCCUGGUGUAGCGGUGAAAUGCGCAGAUAUCAGGAGGAACACCGGUGGCGAAGGCGGAUCUCUGGGCCAUUACUGACGCUGAGGAGCGAAAGCGUGGGGAGCGAACAGG
rnacentral:rRNA from 1 species